UCAUGGAAGCGGCGAAGUCGACGUCGCGCCAGUUGUCGCGCAGGCGCCGGGAGCCAAGAGGCCAACGGCAGGAGGAGCUCUCCUUCCCAAGAAUGCCGGAUCGCAGGAUCACCAUUGCCGUGGUGCGUUCCCCCGCCGGCGGUCGGUUCAACAACAGCCGCACCACCGUCCGCAGCUGGACAUCCGCCGUGAAACCACAGCCUGUGCAACCGCCACCACCACUGCGACAGAUGCUGCCAUCCAAAGCGUUUGGGGGGCACUCCGGUUCCUACAAGAAGCCAUCCCUGGCGAGCCAGAGGACUCAGCCAGAGGAACCGGUCAGUGAUGCUCCAGUACCUAAGAACCACAGCAAACGCCAACACCAUCAACAGCAUACACAGCCCAACUCUAGCACCUGGUGGAGAGCCAUACCCGUCAAGGCCAAGGUGGACUCGCAUUGGUUGAAGCCCCAUCACCAUCAUCGUUCCUCACGCGACACCCAGCCGGUAGCAGGACCAGGACCUAAACCAGGAGUGCGCAAGAAUAAGAGCAACAAAUCCCUAGAGGCAGCUCAUGAGCAGCUGGAGCUCAUGCUGUCCAGGAUAGAGCGGGCCAGAGACUUUCUGCCACCGCCGCCAGCGGGUGCCGCUAACACCACCACCACCACCACCACCAAAACCACCAGCAAAAAGAGAGGUGUCCCAUGCCCAAUGUUUCCAAUAAGGAGCGCAGCCAAAUUUGGCGAAAAGAUGGCAAAGGGUGCGAGCCGCCAUAUGGCACAGCCACCGCCAGCGCCACCGGGUUCACCCAUUAACAGCGCCCGACGGGAAGGCAGUGACUCCGCCGAAAUGGAGCUCCACCUGGCUGCUGUUCCACUCGCUCACAAUCCACAGAGCCUGGUGCCAGCCAAGCGGGAAGCUCUACUGGAGUUGCUCCAGCAAAGGGAGCAGCAUGAUAGGGGCAUCGUGGAUAUGGUGCGCAAUUCUAAUGAUGGGGAUCAGUCCGCCAGGGAUACCAGUCAGAUGAUGUUCCAAGUGCUACCCCUCAGCCUAAACGAAUCCCCGUACAACGGCAGGGACGGAAAGGCAUCCGUAACCGGUUCCGGAUCCGUAAAGGAGUCUCAGGAGUUGUAUCAAACGAGCCCACAAACAGAAGGUUACAUCCUUCCCAUGGUCGGGCAGCAAAGAGACGGAAAAGAAGCAGUGGUGAUCCACAUGGAGGAAAAGAUCCGUGAACUAAACGAUCGCCAGCAGCAGGCCAUGAGGGAACGGGCCGAGCUGGAGCAGCACAAGCAGCUGGUGACUCUCUGCCGGGAGAAGCAACGUCAGCGGGAAAACAGGAAACAGCUCGCUGAGAUAAAAAAACAGCAGCAACGCGACGGUGAAGUCUCAAAGCCUCAAACCACCAUCCAGCUGAAGGAUCCGCUUGCUUCUGCUUCGAUUCACAUUCCCGUUCCCUUCGAUCCCUGGAUGAAGCUUCUCCAGGAGCGGGAUCGCUUUCUAGGUCAAUGCCAACGCAGCUAUUUCUACAACAAUUCACGGAGCCCGGCACUCUGGAAAAUAUAUGCCAGAGUGGCCAGCAAGCUCAGCUCCCAGCUAAUGGAUCUUCUAGAUGCCAAAAUCAAGCAACCCAUCGAUUAACCAUCAAUUUUUACUACAAUCAAGGACAUUUGCCUUUUACGAGAUUGAUUAAAAUGUGAGACAAGAUCCUUCAGCAAAUUGCGCCUCUCUCUCUGGGAGGUAUAAAAGGUGACACUGCCGGCUGUCUGGCAUAUCAAAUCAAUCCAACACUUCAACAGGGCAGGACAGUAGCUCCUCCUCAUCCUCCAUCCCAGCAACUACCCAG